rnacentral:misc_RNA from 1 species
GAACGCACAUUGCGCCCGCCAGUAUUCUGGCGGGCAUGCCUGUUCGAGCGUCAUUUCAACCCUCAAGCUCAGCUUGGUGUUGGGACUCGCGGUAACCCGCGUUCCCCAAAUCGAUUGGCGGUCACGUCGAGCUUCCAUAGCGUAGUAAUAAUACACCUCGUUACUGGUAAUCGUCGCGGCCACGCCGUAAAACCCCAACUUCUGAAUGUUGACCUCGGAUCAGGUAGGAAUACCCGCUGAACUUAAG